AUUUCCAAGUUCAAACUUACUCUUUUAUUUAUUCACUGGGAUGCUUCUUAAUGAAUUUCAGUCAAUUAAGGAACUUGCUAUGAAUAUUCACCAAACAUUCUGAUUUGUGUGAUAUUAUUAAAGGCACCAAAGGUCAAUUCAGAGUAAGAAACAAUAGUUCCUAUUUGAAUGCCUCGCUACAAAUAGGAAAUGGAAUAGAAAUAAACACUUUGUAACCAUUCUGAAAAUCAAAGCAUGUUUACUUUCUUUUUAAUACUUAUAAACAGAACUUGAACUCCAUGAAGUAACACUACAAUGUAUCUAUGGGGAGACAGAAUGCCUUAAUCCUGUAGAUAAGAAAUUUGUUCUACGGUGUUUAGACAGCUUGAUCACCCAAAGAAAAACAUAUUAAAAAACCCUUCAAAAACAAAACCACCACAAAUUGUAAACUUACAUAAAUAGGUACAAAAUCCCAAACUCAUCAGAGUAAGCUGCCUUUGCCUAGAUCAUUAUUUUCUCCUAGUAUCAAUUUAUGGAUGGCUUUUUUUUUCAUUUUCUUGACCAUUUUGGAUAUUGGGUUUUUUUCCUCACCAUCAAGACCAAAAUGAUAUCCAAUAUAAGAAGGAACUCUGAACAUAAAUAACACCAAAAUAAAUAUAUGUCUGACUCCAGCAGAUAUAUAGGUGGUGGACUAGGCUGACCAGAUGCUAGAGCAUAUGACAAAUACAAAGAGUCAUGGUGUGGUAUAAAAAAACUGGGCAUUUAUAUGGUGCAGCUGGCUAUGCAUAAUCUUUUCCUAAUUUAUGAGGCUGGAGCAUCUGGUGCGUUGCUGUCAU